UAAACCCCCUCAACAAGGGAAACGCUGC
rnacentral:piRNA from 1 species